UGAGUUAAUUCUUCAAUAGAUUAAUUUUGUAGUUUCAUGUGUUAAAGAGUUUAAGGUACUUAAAAGACCUCUUAUAGUACUUAGAGAUAAUUUGUGAACAUAAAAGUAAUAGAAGAGUAGAAAAUUUAGUUUGAAACAUUUAUAUAGUUCCUUAGACUUAUGAGAGAUUCUAAAAAUGAAUUUAAAAGUGUUUUGAGAGUGAAAACAUUAGUUUAUUUUUUAAUACAUCUAUCUCUUAGACAUGGCUUCAAGUGAUAGUGAAGGCUUGAGAGUAAUUGAAAAAUUUAGAAGUGAAA
rnacentral:lncRNA from 1 species